rnacentral:rRNA from 2 species
CUUGCUUCUAUGACGUUAGCGGCGGACGGGUGAGUAACACGUGGGCAACCUGCCUGUAAGACUGGGAUAACUCCGGGAAACCGGAGCUAAUACCGGAUAACAUUUUCUCUUGCAUAAGAGAAAAUUGAAAGAUGGUUUCGGCUAUCACUUACAGAUGGGCCCGCGGUGCAUUAGCUAGUUGGUGAGGUAACGGCUCACCAAGGCAACGAUGCAUAGCCGACCUGAGAGGGUGAUCGGCCACACUGGGACUGAGACACGGCCCAGACUCCUACGGGAGGCAGCAGUAGGGAAUCUUCCGCAAUGGACGAAAGUCUGACGGGAGCAACCGCCGCGUGGAGUGAUGAAGGCUUUCGGGUCGUAAAAACU